rnacentral:rRNA from 1 species
UAAUACCAGCUCCUCGAGUGGUCGGGACGUUUAUUGGGCCUAAAGCAUCCGUAGCCUGUCCUGCAGGUCUCCUGUCAAAUUCAGCGCCUCAAACGCUGAGCUGCAGGAGAUACCGCAGGACUAGGAGGCGGGAGAGGUGGACGGUACUCCGUGGGUAGGGGUAAAAUCCUUUGAUCCAUGGAAGACCACCAGUGGCGAAGGCGGUCCGCCAAAACGCGCUCGACGGUGAGGGAUGAAAGCUGGGGGAGCGAACCGGAUUAGAUACCCGGGUAGUCCCAGCUGUAAACGAUGCAAGCUAGGUGAUGGAGUGGCUACGAGCCGCUCCGGUGCCGCAGGGAAGCCGUUAAGCUUGCCGCCUGGGGAGUACGGUCGCAAGACUG